ensembl:lncRNA
GCGAGAAUGGGCUGCCACACCCAUUAUGUGUCUCUGUGAGCGAGGGAGGGAGAGAAAGGAAAAGUCCGAGCUGUCACGGAGCAAAAACGGGAGCUGGAAGCAUGUAAAUAUAAUAAUAACCACUGCAGCCAAGAAGAGUGCCUGAGGAGCCCAUUUGUAAUAGCUUCACGGAUCCUUCAUACUCCACAAUUCACUCACCUGGAUGCUGUUCAACCCUGGAAACUGACUGUUGGUUCAUGCUCAGAGACUCAUCACUCUUCACCUGCCUGCCCUCCUGCUACUGCAGUCCCAGAUCACUGGAUCAUUCAGGUUGGACUCUGCUCACUCUCAUCCCGUCUGGACACUUACCUGGCCAACACUGCCUCCCCCCUAGGCACUCUCUACCUACUAGCAAAAGACCCUCGUUCAAGUCUCAUGUGCCACGAACUAUUUCCUGACCAUUGUUCCAG